rnacentral:rRNA from 1 species
AUUGAACGCUGGCGGCAUGCCUUACACAUGCAAGUCGAACGGCAGCACGGAGCAAUCCUGGUGGACGAGUGGCGAACGGGUGAGUAAUGUAUCGGAACGUACCUUUCAGUGGGGGAUAACGUAGCGAAAGUUACGCUAAUACCGCAUAUUCUGUGAGCAGGAAAGCAGGGGAUCGCAAGACCUUGCGCUGAUUGAGCGGCCGAUAUCAGAUUAGCUAGUUGGUGAGGUAAAGGCUCACCAAGGCGACGAUCUGUAGCGGGUCUGAGAGGAUGAUCCGCCACACUGGAACUGAGACACGGUCCAGACUCCUACCGGGAGGCCAGCAGUGGGGAAUUUUGGACAAUGGGCGCAAGCCUGACUCCAGCCAUGCCGCGUGAGUGAAGAAGGCCUUCGGGUUGUAAAGCUCUUUCAGCCGGGAAGAAAACGCAUGGGUUAAUACCCUGUGUGGAUGACGGUACCGGAAUAAGAAGCACCGGCUAACUACGUG